rnacentral:misc_RNA from 1 species
GAUCCGUCCACACCGAUGACUUCUAUUCAAGAGAUAGAAGUCAUCGGUGUGGAUUUUUUACGCGUG